UAUCUGUGUCAAGCUUAUAGUAUCUGUGUCAAGGGAAACUAUGAUGCAGAUUUCCCAACUUGCAUCCUCUAAUUGUGGUAAAGUAUAAAGUGAGAGGAAAUGCUAAAACGUUCUGUUUUCCAAACAGGUUAUAUUCAGUUUGAUGCCAUUAAUCCUGUCUCAGGUCACCCCUCAAAGCCCUGGGCUCAAGCAAGCCUCCUGCUUCAACUUUCCAAGGAGCUGGGACUACAGAUGUGUGCUACCUCACCUGGAUAGUUUUUAUUUUUUAUUUUUGCAGAGACGAGGUCUCAUUGUAUUGCCCAGGCUGGUCUUGAACUCCUGACCUCAAGCGAUCCUCCUGUCUCAGCCUUCCAAAGAACUGAGAUUACAGGAAUGAGCUACCAUGCCAGGCCUUCAGAUUUCCAUUAUUCUUUUGUUAAAAUUUUUUUUCCACAAAUGUCUCAGAAGAUAUGGUGACUAAAGAUACCUUCAUUAUCCAAAAGGAAAUCAGUCAAACAAAUAAAAAUCAUAGUUGAAUCAGGA
rnacentral:lncRNA from 1 species